AGAGUUUGAUCAUGGCUCAGAUUGAACGCUGGCGGCAGGCCUAACACAUGCAAGUCGAACGGUAACAGGAAGAAGCUUGCUUCUUUGCUGACGAGUGGCGGACGGGUGAGUAAUGUCUGGGAAACUGCCUGAUGGAGGGGGAUAACUACUGGAAACGGUAGCUAAUACCGCAUAACGUCGCAAGACCAAAGAGGGGGACCUUCGGGCCUCUUGCCAUCGGAUGUGCCCAGAUGGGAUUAGCUAGUAGGUGGGGUAACGGCUCACCUAGGCGACGAUCCCUAGCUGGUCUGAGAGGAUGACCAGCCACACUGGAACUGAGACACGGUCCAGACUCCUACGGGAGGCAGCAGUGGGGAAUAUUGCACAAUGGGCGCAAGCCUGAUGCAGCCAUGCCGCGUGUAUGAAGAAGGCCUUCGGGUUGUAAAGUACUUUCAGCGGGGAGGAAGGGAGUAAAGUUAAUACCUUUGCUCAUUGACGUUACCCGCAGAAGAAGCACCGGCUAACUCCGUGCCAGCAGCCGCGGUAAUACGGAGGGUGCAAGCGUUAAUCGGAAUUACUGGGCGUAAAGCGCACGCAGGCGGUUUGUUAAGUCAGAUGUGAAAUCCCCGGGCUCAACCUGGGAACUGCGUCUGAUACUGGCAAGCUUGAGUCUCGUAGAGGGGGGUAGAAUUCCAGGUGUAGCGGUGAAAUGCGUAGAGAUCUGGAGGAAUACCGGUGGCGAAGGCGGCCCCCUGGACGAAGACUGACGCUCAGGUGCGAAAGCGUGGGGAGCAAACAGGAUUAGAUACCCUGGUAGUCCACGCCGUAAACGAUGUCGACUUGGAGGUUGUGCCCUUGAGGCGUGGCUUCCGGAGCUAACGCGUUAAGUCGACCGCCUGGGGAGUACGGCCGCAAGGUUAAAACUCAAAUGAAUUGACGGGGGCCCGCACAAGCGGUGGAGCAUGUGGUUUAAUUCGAUGCAACGCGAAGAACCUUACCUGGUCUUGACAUCCACAGAACUUUCCAGAGAUGGAUUGGUGCCUUCGGGAACUGUGAGACAGGUGCUGCAUGGCUGUCGUCAGCUCGUGUUGUGAAAUGUUGGGUUAGGUCCCGCAACGAGCGCAACCCUUAUCUUUUGUUGCCAGCGGUCCGGCCGGGAACUCAAAGGAGACUGCCAGUGAUAAACUGGAGGAAGGUGGGGAUGACGUCAAGUCAUCAUGCCCCUUACGACCAGGGCUACACACGUGCUACAAUGGCGCAUACAAAGAGAAGCGACCUCGCGAGAGCAAGCGGACCUCAUAAAGUGCGUCGUAGUCCGGAUUGGAGUCUGCAACUCGACUCCAUGAUGUCGGAAUCGCUAGUAAUCGUGGAUCAGAAUGCCACGGUGAAUACGUUCCCGGGCCUUGUACACACCGCCCGUCACACCAUGGGAGUGGGUUGCAAAAGAAGUAGGUAGCUUAACCUUCGGGAGGGCGCUUACCACUUUGUGAUUCAUGACUGGGGCGAAGUCGU
rnacentral:rRNA from 1 species